rnacentral:snoRNA from 1 species
UGUAAACCAAAAUUAGAAGUGUUUGAAUCAAGAACUUAUCUUAAUCCCUCCAUCAUGCUCUAGUUGUGUGUGAUGGGCAAAAGGGCACUGACACGGGGUGAUGCCCCUGCCUGCUGUCCCUUGGUGAGUCCAGGGAAGGUGCUGUGGUCUGAUCCAACAGCUUAGUUACAAAUGGAUUUUGGUUGAUGAAAGUGCUGGGAUCUGGGGUUAUGAUCUGACAUUUUCAAUCAGAGACC